GAUGAACGCUGGCGGCGUGCCUAAUACAUGCCAGUCGAGCGAACAGAUAAGGAGCUUGCUCCUUUGACGUUAGCGGCGGACGGGUGAGUAACACGUGGGUAACCUACCUAUAAGACUGGGAUAACUUCGAGAAACCGGAGCUAACACCGGAUAAUAUUUUGAACCGCAUGGUUCGAUAGAGAAAGAUGGCUUUUCUAUCUCUUAUAGAUGGAUCCGGGCUGUAUUGGAUAGUCGGUAAGGUAACGGCUUACCACGGGGACGAUACGUAGCCGAAUUGAGAGAGUGGUCGGCCACACUGGAACUGAGACAGGGUCCAGGCUCCUACGAGAGGCCGCAGUAGGGAAUCUUCCGCAGUGGGCGAAAGCCUGACGGAGCAGGGGCGCGUGAGUGAUGGAAAUCUUCGGAUCGUGAAACUGUGUUAUUAGGGAAAAACAUACGUGGAAGUAGCUGAACACGGCUUGACGGUACCGAAUCAAAAAGCAACGGCUAACUACGUG
rnacentral:rRNA from 1 species